rnacentral:rRNA from 1 species
GGAAUUUUGCACAAUGGGCGAAAGCCUGAUGCAGCGACGCCGCGUGGAGGAUGACGGUCUUCGGAUUGUAAACUCCUGUUAAGUGGGAAGAAAGAUUCAUACCUAAUACGUAUGGGGGAUGACGGUACCACUAGAGAAAGCACCGGCAAACUUCGUGCCAGCAGCCGCGGUAAUACGAAGGGUGCAAGCGUUAUUCGGAAUGACUGGGCGUAAAGAGCGUGUCGGCGGCUUACUAAGUCAACUGUUAAAGAACUCGGCUUAACCGAGUGCCUGCGGGUGAUACUGGAAAGCUAGAGUACGAGAGAGAAGGGUAGAAUUCUCGGAGUAGCGGUAAAAUGCGUAGAUCUCGAGAGGAAUACCGGUUGCGAAGGCGGCCCUUUGGCUCGUAACUGACGCUUAAGCGCGAAAGCGUGGGGAGCAA